rnacentral:rRNA from 1 species
GAUGAACGCUGGCGGCGUGCCUAAUACAUGCAAGUCGAGCGAACGGACGAGAAGCUUGCUUCUCUGAUGUUAGCGGCGGACGGGUGAGUAACACGUGGAUAACCUACCUAUAAGACUGGGAUAACUUCGGGAAACCGUAGCUAAUACCGGAUAAUAUUUUGAACCGCAUGGUUCAAAAGUGAAAGACGGUCUUGCUGUCACUUAUAGAUGGAUCCGCGCUGCAUUAGCUAGUUGGUAAGGUAACGGCUUACCAAGGCAACGAUGCAUAGCCGACCUGAGAGGGUGAUCGGCCACACUGGAACUGAGACACGGUCCAGACCCCUACGGGAGGCAGCAGUAGGGAAUCUUCCGCAAAGGGCGAAAGCCUGACGGAGCAACGCCGCGUGAGUGAUGAAGGUCUUCGGAUCGUAAAACUCUGUUAUUAGGGAAGAACAUAUGUGUAAGUAACUGUGCACAUCUUGACGGUACCUAAUCAGAAAGCCACGGCUAACUACGUG